UAAAAAAUCAUCUAAACUUUCUUCUUUUUCCUCUUUAACUCGCACAGAGAAACAAAUUGGGAAAACUAAAGCAAUUAGGGUUUCGAAGAACCUACUAAAUUGGGGAAAUUUCAAGAGCUAACGAAGAGUUCUGAAGAAUUAUUGAUUCAUGAUUGGGGUAGAUGAGGUGGAUAUUAAGAAUCUGAAUGUGUUUUAACCGAUUACUAACAGCGCCAAGCCAACCAGAUAAUGGGAGAAGUAACUCAGGGAGCUAAUGACUUGCCUGGUGCUGCAGCUGAUAAGACAAGAAUCUCUCCUGUUGUGAACAGAGUUGUGCAACAAAGACAAAAGGCUGUACUGUUGAUGGUGUGGUCGAGAAAGGGAACAGCUAAGACAGAUCCACCAACUGACCCCCUGUUGAUGUCAGAAACACUGGAAGAAGAACCAGCUUUGGAGGAUUGUCACUCCGCUAAGAAG